GUCAACCUAACUUAUGGACGGGGAUAACCUCGGGAAACUGAGAAUAAUACCCGAUAGGUCAUGAUGCCUGGAAUGGUUUAUGACUCAAAUAAUUUAUUGCCGUAGGAUGGGACUGCGAGCUAUCAGCUUGUUGGUGAGGUAAUGGCCCACCAAGGCUAUUACAGCUACGGGCUCUGAGAGGAGUAGCCCGGAGAUGGGUACUGAGACAAGGACCCAGGCCCUAUGGGGCGCAGCAGGCGAGAAAACUUUGCAAUGCGCGAAAGCUCGACAAGGUUAAUCUGAGUGGUUCCUGCUAAAGGAACCUUUUGUUAGUCGUAGAACCACUGAUGAAUAAGGGGUGGGCAAGUUCUGGUGUCAGCCGCCGCGGUAAAACCAGCACCUCAAGUGGUCAGGAUGAUUAUUGGGCCUAAAGCAUCCGUAGCCUGUUCUGUAAGUUUUCGGUUAAAUCCAUAAGCUCAACUUAUGGGCUGCCGAAAAUACUGCAGAACUAGGGAGUGGGAGAGGUAGACGGUACUCGGUAGGAAGGGGUAAAAUCCUUUGAUCUAUUGAUGACCACCUGUGGCGAAGGCGGUCUACCAGAACACGUUCGACGGUGAGGGAUGAAAGCUGGGGGAGCAAACCGGAUUAGAUACCCGGGUAGUCCCAGCUGUAAACGAUGCAAACUCGAUGAUGCGUUGGCUUGUUGCUAGCGCAGUGUCGCAGGGAAGCCGUUAAGUUUGCCGCCUGGGAAGUACGUACGCAAGUAUGAAACUUAAAGGAAUUGGCGGGGGAGCACCACAAGGGGUGAAGCCUGCGGUUC
rnacentral:rRNA from 1 species